GAGUUUGAUUAUGGCUCAGAACGAACGCUGGCGGCGCGUCUUAAGCAUGCAAGUCGAACGGUAAGGGAGAGCUUGCUCUCCCCUAGAGUGGCGGACUGGUGAGUAACGCGUGGGUGACCUGCCCUGAAGAUGGGGAUAGCUAGUAGAAAUAUUAGAUAAUACCGAAUAAGCUCAUUUUUAUAAAGAGAAGUGAGGAAAGGGAGCUACGGCUCCGCCUUAGGAUGGGCCCGCGUCCCAUUAGCUAGUUGGUAAGGUAAAGGCUUACCAAGGCAACGAUGGGUAUCCGGCCUGAGAGGGUGAACGGACACAUUGGGACUGAGAUACGGCCCAAACUCCUACGGGAGGCAGCAGCUAAGAAUCUUCCGCAAUGGACGAAAGUCUGACGGAGCGACGCCGUGUGAAUGAAGAAGGCUGAAAAGUUGUAAAAUUCUUUUGCAGACGAAGAAUAAUCACGGGAGGGAAUGCCUGUGAGAUGACGGUAGUCAUGCGAAUAAGCCCCG
rnacentral:rRNA from 1 species